rnacentral:rRNA from 1 species
CCUGGUUGAUCCUGCCAGUAGUCAUAUGCUUGUCUCAAAGAUUAAGCCAUGCAUGUCUAAGUAUAAGUUUUUUACUGCGAAACUGUGAAUGGCUCAUUAUAACAGUUAUUAUUUCCUAGCCGGUCAGUUAUUCCUUGGAUACCCAUGGUAAUUCUAGAGCUAAUACAUGCUUACAGACCCAACUUCACGGAAGGGUUGCGCUUAUUAGAUACCGAACCAACCCCGCAAGGGAUUUAGUUGAUUCAUAGUGUUCUGGCGAAUCGACUUCUAGUCGAUGAGGCUAUCAAGUUUCUGACCUAUCAGCUUCCGACGGUAGGGUAUUGGCCUACCGUGGCUUUGACGGGUAACGGAGAAUUAGGGUUCGAUUCCGGAGAGGGAGCCUGAGAAACGGCUACCACAUCUAAGGAAGGCAGCAGGCGCGUAAAUUACCCAAUCCUGACACAGGGAGGUAGUGACAAGAAAUAUCAAUAUAAGACUUUUGUGUCUUGUAAUUGGGAUGAGCGGAACUUAAAUCGCUUCUCGAGUAUCAAUUGGAGGGCAAGUCUGGUGCCAGCAGCCGCGGUAAUUCCAGCUCCAAUAGCGUAUAUUAAAAUUGUUGCGGUUAAAACGCUCGUAGUUGGAUAUCUGUGAGCGGGUUCCGGUCCUUCCCAGUGAAGAUUACACGGAACUCUGCUCGCAUUUGUUCAGGGAGGGUGGAUGCACUUCACUUUGUGACCACAUGAUCUGAAUUUUUACUUUGAGGAAAUGAGAGUGUUCCAAGCAGGCAAUUGCCGUGAAUAUGAUAGCAUGGAAUAAUAGCACAGGACUCUUGGUUCAAUGCUGUU